rnacentral:rRNA from 1 species
UACGUAGGGUGCGAGCGUUGUCCGGAAUUAUUGGGCGUAAAGGGCUCGUAGGCGGUUUGUCGCGUCGGGAGUGAAAACCCAGGGCUUAACUCUGGGCUGGCUUUCGAUACGGGCAGACUAGAGGUAUGCAGGGGAGAACGGAAUUCCUGGUGUAGCGGUGAAAUGCGCAGAUAUCAGGAGGAACACCGGUGGCGAAGGCAGCUCGCUGGGACGUGACUGACGCUGAGACGCGAAAGCGUGGGGAGCAAACGGG